AGUUGCCUUCCCAGACUCCUGCAGAAAUUUAAGUGCAAUGUAUCAUCAAGGAUCAUUGAAUCCAGUUGUUUGAUUUCUUUUGUAUAACAAGAGCUUGAGUUGUCGCCCUAUCUGUGGCGGUAUCAUGGUUUGCUUGACUCAAUUUUGACAAGCAGUUCAAAAUUAAGUAUGGUCGCUUGAAGCAUUCUUUGUGAUACGAACUGCAAUCGAGUUUCACGUUUUGUUCUACUCAACUCGGCCUUUUCCAGAUAUCUUAGCUUUGGCUUUAUGUGGGCACACUAUUGUUACUCUUUUUAUAUGGCAAUACUAAGGAGAUUGAAGUAUUCGUAACACAUGUGUUUUCUGUCGUGCAGUGAACUUGUUAUACUCUUUCUGGUUCAAUGGAACUUACCUACGCACAUUAGGGCUUUUACUUUAGCUGGUGAGUGUUUGUGAGCGAGAUGACUGUCGCUUCCGCAUGGAUCCACCUCCUAGCCGUUGACCACUUCAUUGGAACGCACGUGUAACCUUGAUGGGAAAAUAUGGUGAAGACUUGAAGUUGAUAUACUAAUGUGAUAUAUGAAGCUAUAUUCAAGGGCGUCACACAGGUUUGGAAUCUUCAUUCACAUCUGCACCUCACUUGUUACCUGUGUUCUUGCUUUAGUCAUUUUUUUGUAAUCAUAUUCCUAUAUACUGGGCAUCAUUCUGUAUUGCCAGUGCUUUCUAUUAAUCACCAUUUUAAGAAUCAUUGCUUGAUAUACUGGUCUUUUAUAUGUACCAUCUUAUUUAUCAUCUGAAUUACCUUUUGUCUGAUAUAGCACUACAAUUGGUUUAAUGUACAUUGAUUUAUAUCUGAAAACUUUAAUUAUGCUUUUUUUUAUAUUUCCAGUUCUUUCAAUCAAUCACCUUUGUAAGACCCACUGCUUGACCCAUUUGAUCUCAGAGCAUAUUUUACAUUUCUUUUUUCUCAUGUACUCUCUCCGUCCCAAAAUAAGUGACUUACUGUACAUUGCUAUAUAUCUGAAUUUUCUUCAUUGUGUUUAAAUAUGGAAAGUACCUUCUUUAACUAAGCGAACAACCUCUUGACGAUUGCUGCGCUCAUAAUUUUUUUGCAAUAGUUUGGUUUUAUUACUGUUGGUGGCAGGUACGACAAACUUGUUGGCAUGUUCAGUAACAAGCAAGUCCCCACUGUUGGCGUCGAUCUUGGAAUAGAAAGGGUUUUCGCAAUCAUUGAGCAACAUGAGAAAGAAAAUAACCAGGUUAUCCGGGCUAGGGUGACAGAGGUUUUGGUGUCGAUUCUAGGGAAGGACCUUAUAUUGGCCGCCAAGCUUGCGAAUGAGUUAUGGAGUGCUGGGAUAAAGGCAGAGUUCAAGCUCACCACCAGGGAGCUGGACCACAUAAAGUAUGUGACUCAGACAGGCAUUCUGUGGAUGGUGCUGGUCGGUGAGUCUGGAUUUCGUCCAGGUGUUGAAGCAGAGAUUAUCUAACCCUUAGAGAGGAAAUCUUAAAUGUAGAGCGCGUGUGUCCUAGGCGAUGCAUUGUUCUUGGUUUCUCCGUGCGUUCAUUUUGCUGAUGAUGAGGUGUGUACACAAGACAGUGUGGCUCCUCGAUUUAUACACAUGAUCACAAAUUGUUGGAAUUGUUGCCUUAUAUGUCAAGUGCUUGUUGUGAGUUCCAAACUUACAGUAGAGAUGGCGUAUUAGCUACCCGAUCCAGAGCCGAAGCUUUGUUGGCGCACGGUAUUUUUUGUACGAUUAUUGAUUUGCUAGCAUAUAUUCUAGACUAAAUUUUGUUAGCCUGCUGCACUUUAUAGCGCUUUUAUCUGGUUUCUUUCUUAGUUUCUUAUAACAUCUUAAUUUAUUUAUUUUAUAUGACGUAAGAUUGUUCCGUUCACUAAUGUUUCUCCAUGUUAUGAAGAAAAGAUUUGGGUUCAGAGCACCUUUCCGUGUUAUUUAUCUGAUUUUUGUGAUUUCUGAUGUUCAGGUCAAGGCGAACUUGAAAUAUGGCCACCUUUGUAUGGCCAAUGGCUUUGUAGGCUUUCAGUAUUUGGCGUCUGUCGCCGGGUUUGUUCCGCCUCAACCAGGAUCUUCUCGGCACUGCUCUGAUGUUGUGAAAACUCACGCAUGCCGACAGCCGCCUCCAUGCUCGAGCUGCCGCAGCCUGUAGGUAGCCUCUCCGUUCUUUUUUCUCGACCUUUUUGCUUGCUCUGCUAAAGUGUUAUGCGUGUGUUUGGCUGCUUGCUACUUGCAAAUAAAUUGUAUGAAUGGCAGCAGGGUGUAGCAACAGCCAACAUUAGUUCGGCUCAAUCCCAGCAGCAAAUUUCUUUGUUGCUCUAUUAUAUAUUUAUAUUCAACCAUAUGUUUAUAUCUUUCUGGUAAUGCGUUUGGUUUCUAAAUUGAUAUUUAAAAAAAUUGCGUUGAUCCUCGGUGGUGCGCAAAUUUUAUUACAAGUCCAGUUUCUUUAGUGUUGCAGAAAAAGUUGACUGCUGAAUACUGAUGCAUACUAGGCAAACAACUUAUUUGCCCAUUGCCAUAUAUCAACCUAGCUGAACUAAAAAUGACAUGCUUGGGUCGGUCAAGCUUUGCUGGGUAUUCAAGAAGUUAGCUCAGGCUUAUGAGGUUAUGAAUGAUCCUGAGAAGCUGGGAGGUCGAGGACUGCAUGAUCUAUUGGACAUCUUCCGGUCAUUCUGUGUAUAAGAUAGCUAUAUAAUAGUUCUAUUCCAUGACUAUGGUCAUUCUGUGUAGAUUUUGUCAUAUUGGAAUUAAAAAAUGAACAAAAACAAUUUUUUUAGGAUUGAGGGUUGAUUCUCUGAGAUUACACAUGGAUAAUUGGAUUUUGGGUACAUAUAUACUUUCAGCGAUGCCAUGAUUUUGGUUAACUCCAGGUUAUAAUUUCAAUGAUGCUUUAUGAGGAUCUUAAGAUUUGUCCGUGGUGGCUUUUUCUUACCGGUGAAUUCGGCAUUUUACAAACUUGACUUGUGUGCUUCCAUAAUCGAUAUUCCUGAUUGAUUGCGUGAAGAAACUGAUUCAUGUGUUGAAUGGACCUCAGAGAAUUAUGGAUAUGGGUGACUACUUGACUCUUGCCUUGGUUUGCAUUAAGUGUGUCGUACUGUCCUUUGAAUUUGCAAAUUCCGAGACACACUCAGCCAUUACAUGCAUUGUCCUAGCAGGAACAUGACUUGGGACAGGUCACGCGCGGCAAGUUGCCCUUCCUAUGUCAUGAAUCUUAAUGCUUUGUACUGAAUUGCAUGCAAACCAGUUAUUUGCCUGGCUUGUGUUAUAUCGUAAAUCUUGAUGUCUUAUACUAAAUCUACUGGACCACUCCUGAAUACUAAUAUAGAUAUUAUGCUUCAUAUUAAAUAUUGAUGGUUUUUAUUGAACCAUAUCCUA